rnacentral:ncRNA from 1 species
ACUCAACAACGCGGGGGCUCCCACGAUCACCGGGGGCUGAGAUGGCGACGGGCGGUCGCCGACCGCCUGAACCUGUCCGGGUAAUGCCGGCGAAGGGAGCCCCUCAUGGGAACAG